rnacentral:snRNA from 1 species
AGUUUUGUGCAGUGGCAGUAUCAUAGCCAAUGAGGUUUAUCCGAGGCGCGAUUAUUGCUAUUUGACAGGGAGAGAGAGAGAGAGAGA